rnacentral:snRNA from 14 species
GUGCUCCCUUCCGCAGCACUACGCUACAAUUCAAGUAACACACAAAGAUUAGCCUGGCCCCUGAGCAAGAAUGACACGCAAAUUUGUGAAGCGUUCCAUAAUUUU